UUGCAUUCUGCUACAUUUACGUGGUAGCUUACUGUACUACAUUGCACUCUACUGCACUGCUUGGCACCCUCUUAACUGUCUGUCCUGCUGCGCACUGCCUUUGCGCACCUUUCCCAUACCUCGGCUAUAUGAGACACUAACUUUAUCCAAUAGACGAUCGCUUCUUGCGGCGUUUGGUUAUCGUGCGCGCGCACCGUAGGGAAAGGAGGGAAGCAAGGCAGCGGCGGCAGAGCAGGAGUCUAGUACAGUAAGGCAGCGAGGAGGGAAAAGAAGAUUUCCCAUAUGUCGGGAAGAGAGAUUUGAGAGAGGGAGAGAAGUACGGACGGUCGGAGGAGCAGGAGAGAGAAGAAGAGCCAUGAAAAAGGAAGUGAAAGUAGAAGGGAACUAGUAGGAAAAUAGUAGGGAAAUA
rnacentral:lncRNA from 1 species